GAUUGAACGCUGGCGGCAGGCCUAACACAUGCAAGUCGAGCGGUAGCACAGAGAGCUUGCUCUCGGGUGACGAGCGGCGGACGGGUGAGUAAUGUCUGGGAAACUGCCUGAUGGAGGGGGAUAACUACUGGAAACGGUAGCUAAUACCGCAUAACGUCGCAAGACCAAAGUGGGGGACCUUCGGGCCUCAUGCCAUCAGAUGUGCCCAGAUGGGAUUAGCUAGUAGGUGGGGUAACGGCUCACCUAGGCGACGAUCCCUAGCUGGUCUGAGAGGAUGACCAGCCACACUGGAACUGAGACACGGUCCAGACUCCUACGGGAGGCAGCAGUGGGGAAUAUUGCACAAUGGGCGCAAGCCUGAUGCAGCCAUGCCGCGUGUGUGAAGAAGGCCUUCGGGUUGUAAAGCACUUUCAGCGGGGAGGAAGGCGGUGAGGUUAAUAACCUCACCGAUUGACGUUACCCGCAGAAGAAGCACCGGCUAACUCCGUGCCAGCAGCCGCGGUAAUACGGAGGGUGCAAGCGUUAAUCGGAAUUACUGGGCGUAAAGCGCACGCAGGCGGUCUGUCAAGUCGGAUGUGAAAUCCCCGGGCUCAACCUGGGAACUGCAUUCGAAACUGGCAGGCUAGAGUCUUGUAGAGGGGGGUAGAAUUCCAGGUGUAGCGGUGAAAUGCGUAGAGAUCUGGAGGAAUACCGGUGGCGAAGGCGGCCCCCUGGACAAAGACUGACGCUCAGGUGCGAAAGCGUGGGGAGCAAACAGGAUUAGAUACCCUGGUAGUCCACGCUGUAAACGAUGUCGAUUUGGAGGUUGUGCCCUUGAGGCGUGGCUUCCGGAGCUAACGCGUUAAAUCGACCGCCUGGGGAGUACGGCCGCAAGGUUAAAACUCAAAUGAAUUGACGGGGGCCCGCACAAGCGGUGGAGCAUGUGGUUUAAUUCGAUGCAACGCGAAGAACCUUACCUGGUCUUGACAUCCACAGAACUUAGCAGAGAUGCUUUGGUGCCUUCGGGAACUGUGAGACAGGUGCUGCGUGGCUGUCGUCAGCUCGUGUUGUGAAAUGUUGGGUUAAGUCCCGCAACGAGCGCAACCCUUAUCCUUUGUUGCCAGCGGUUAGGCCGGGAACUCAAAGGAGACUGCCAGUGAUAAACUGGAGGAAGGUGGGGAUGACGUCAAGUCAUCAUGGCCCUUACGACCAGGGCUACACACGUGCUACAAUGGCAUAUACAAAGAGAAGCGACCUCGCGAGAGCAAGCGGACCUCAUAAAGUAUGUCGUAGUCCGGAUUGGAGUCUGCAACUCGACUCCAUGAAGUCGGAAUCGCUAGUAAUCGUAGAUCAGAAUGCUACGGUGAAUACGUUCCCGGGCCUUGUACACACCGCCCGUCACACCAUGGGAGUGGGUUGCAAAAGAAGUAGGUAGCUUAACCUUCGGGAGGGCGCUUACCACUUUGUGAUUCAUGACUGGGGUGAAGUCGUAACAAGG
rnacentral:rRNA from 1 species